rnacentral:rRNA from 1 species
GAUGAACGCUGGCGGCGUGCCUAAUACAUGCAAGUCGAGCGAACAGACGAGGAGCUUGCUCCUCUGACGUUAGCGGCGGACGGGUGAGUAACACGUGGAUAACCUACCUAUAAGACUGGGAUAACUUCGGGAAACCGGAGCUAAUACCGGAUAAUAUAUUGAACCGCAUGGUUCAAUAGUGAAAGACGGUUUUGCUGUCACUUAUAGAUGGAUCCGCGCCGCAUUAGCUAGUUGGUAAGGUAACGGCUUACCAAGGCAACGAUGCGUAGCCGACCUGAGAGGGUGAUCGGCCACACUGGAACUGAGACACGGUCCAGACUCCUACGGGAGGCAGCAGUAGGGAAUCUUCCGCAAUGGGCGAAAGCUUGACGGAGCAACGCCGCGUGAGUGAUGAAGGUCUUAGGAUCGUAAAACUCUGUUAUUAGGGAAGAACAAAUGUGUAAGUAACUAUGCACGUCUUGACGGUACCUAAUCAAAAAGCCACGGCUAACUACGUG